CUAAUUGACAAGUUAAAGAAUGAAGUGUGGUUUAAAAGUCAAGAACUACUGAAAAUCUGCUUCUUUUCUAGUGUUCAUAGUCUUUGAAGUUGCUAGGGAACUCUCCAAAUGUGGGUGUUUUGUGUUUUUUUUUCUCUUCAACUGAGAGUGUGCAGAUGUGAUGGAUGUGCACCUGCUCAGUAACUUUCAAGAGAGGAUCUUAAGGCAAACUGGUGUUGGCUUUGGCUGCUGGCUGGGCAUCUAGGUGUGUUCUCUGGAGGCUGCAGGGAAGGGCAGGUUUGGGGAGACUUGAUGGGGAGACUUUGCUGCUUGUUGAUCCUGAGUGCUGAGCCCAGCUGGAUGAAAAAACACUCUGCUCCACAGGUUCUUGGGAAAGUAGCACAUAGGAAAUCAUUAUCCGAUUGCAAAAUUUUGCUUCCCACACUUGCUGCCCUUCACUUCUUUAACACACUGAGGGUGAUUAACUAUUUCUAGCUGCAGCUAUAUAAACAUAGCCCAUGAUUUUUUUCCAGCCUCAUCCAAUUUUUUCUUUAAUUAAUCUUUUAAUGGAAAAUUAAGUUUACUUCUUAUGUGCCUAAACUACUGUCUUAACUACAGAGCUCUUAUUUUAAAAUACAAGCCAUAAAACACGGCAAACAAGUGGCUCAGCUAUAUGGGAUAAUACUGGUUUCUGUUAUUUAAAUUUUCUUCUAUAGUCUCUUUUGUACUAUGCAAAAUAGGGCAGGGGGACUAUAUAUCAUGAAGAUAAACCUGUCAGAGAAGCUGCAAGAUAUUCUUUUAAGGAAAAAAAAAAAAUACUGCUAUUUCAGUAAUAGAUAUGCAAAGCCCUCUAAAGUGGUUUUACAGAAAUGGCUAUAGUUCAGUCAGGCCUAUUUUAUCUGUAUUUAGGCUAAGGUUUUUAUGUAGGCUAUUUUUGUAAUGAGGUUUGAUUUUUAUUUUUUGUUUAAUUUCUUUUUCUAUUUAAAAAUUCCUGUUUCACUCUUUCAGCUGAUAAAAUGGAGUAAUGUCAGAAAGUAGCAGCUGGACUUUGCAUUUGCUUGGACCUUGUGUCAACCCCUGAAAUAUGUGACACUGUGUAUGACACACUGUCCGUCUUCACAGAAUCACAGAAUUGCAGGGGUUAGAAAGGACCUGUGGAGACUGUCUAGUCUAACCCCUUGCUAAAACAGCUUCCUCAGAGUAUGGAGCUACCGAUGUUCCAGUUUGUGCCCAUUGCCCCUUGUUCUUCUGCUGGGCACUACUGUAAAGAGCGUGGCCCAGAGAAUUUCAACAGAUUUUUCUUGAGCUCUAUUUGAGAAGAAUUGAAAAAAAUUGCCCUGUGCUUUUAUUGUUUCUGUGUUUUCAUGAGCCAGUUAUGGUUUGAAUGGCUAAGUACCGUCAGUAUAAUUUUUUAUAAAUGUACUCUACUGAGGUUGGAGGUAGAGUUCCAGAAGAGCACACUUGACAAAGCCAAAAGUAAUUUUAAUCAGUGUAAGAAAUAUCUGGGCUGGUUUUCGUUUGUUCUUCAAGCCUUGCAGCACUUUGUCCUUUCUAGACUUUUCGCAAGAAAACAUGAGACACUACCUUACUCCUCUAGGACUUUUAGUUUAAUAGCUUAGGAUAAAGUAACCUGAGGAUCAACCAAGACAAUGUCUUGGCCUUUCUCUUACUUAGUUGCUUAGUAGACAAGACCUACAGAAGUUCUCUCUUCCUUGGACUUUUUGAGGAAACGUUACUGUGUUCCUUGGAGCAGAAAUUCACACCUACUCAAAAUUCUAUGAACUGAGAAUGCUUUUAAUAUCAGUGACUUUUAACAUGUCUUUUUCUGAAUCCUGUUCUGGCAGCUGCUUUGUCCAUGGUAAAUCCAUGGCCUAUUACUUCUAUUACUCAGCAGACAGUUUUCAAAUAGCCCAUUAUUCUUGUAUGUAUCCUUUAGAAGUAUUUUCUCUGAAUUUCAGUCAUACUGCACUCUGGAAUGUUUAUGUGUAUCUAUGUGUGCAAGUCUGUAGCUGUGCAGACAUCAUACCAUAUGUUGAACAUUUUGUAUCUGUAACAAUUGCUGGUAAGACAAUCAAGCCCAGAUGCUGUAAUAGAAAAUACUCUGUGAAGUGACUUUGAAUUCUUUUCUCACAUUUAACAGCUGGUUUGGCAGCAUUGCUGGGUGUUUCUCCUUGGUACAACUCCCAGAAAAAUCUGUUUAGAGGCACAGAAACAGUGUGGAGUGCCCAAGUUUGGAUAAGAAUUGCUUUGCAGAAAUUAAAAUGACAGCAUAUGCUACAUGACAGCUCGCAAAAUAAGAAAACUGCAGAACCCCCUUGAGCCAUGUUUGAUUGGGAAAUGUAGAUUUGCUUUGCAUGAAUGGGCUUAUUUUGCAAACUGGAAGGGUAUUUUUUGUUUAGGGAAGUUGCUGAGUGUCACUGAGGAUUAUCCAAGUCUAGCAAGACUAAGAUAAUAGCAUUAAUGAUUACAUUUUUAAAUCCUCUGAAAAUGUCAGUUAAAUGUUUCUUAGAGCAUUUAACAUUUCUUAGACCUUGCAACACAUGCUUAUGAGUAGUACUGAAGGCUGUAUCUACAACAGUGUGGGAGCUGACCAGGUUUUCACCUAUAAUGAAAGAGCUGAUUUCCAGAAAUAGGGCCUGCAGCAUGUUUCUUCUUUAUAGACAAAGGAUUUCCCUCAAGAUUUCAGAACUGUGUCACGUUUAAAUCACUCCAUUGAUCUCAUAAGGCCUUGCACAAAUGGAAAAAAUCAUGCCUCAAAGAGGCUGAAGAUAUUUAAAAAUCGUUAUGAUAUAUGUCUAUGUCCUGUUAACACUUGAAAAUAUUCAGCAAAAAAGGCUCCUUUGUUGCUUUAGACCGUUUCAUUCCAGGUAUAAAUCCAGGUUUUCUGUACACUGAGAAUUUUGAUGCUGUCUUAGAUACAAACUACAAACUUGAGACUUAGAGAUCACUGGUGAGCCAGCCAGAACCAGAAGAAUUCAGCCUUCUAGGAAGGGAACAAGCAUUCUUUUUGCCGUCUCCAUGACUUCACAAUGGGAAGGAUCUGAUAACUUCCCUCAGUCUCUAUGGGGCAGAGAAUAUGCUGUUCCUGCUCUGUCCUGGUGUUAAAUCGUGGUAGAUUCUCUUCUCUUUGCUAUCUACUUAACUUCCGAAUUUGCUCUUAGUUUUCCUUUUUUCUUUACUUAAUUGAAACAGCAGAUGUUUGUUGCCUUAACUUGGAGACGUUUUACUUCCCUUUUCAUUUAGUGAUUAGCAUGAUCUAAAAUGCCAUUUUUUUUUUCUACAGUUAGUAACUUCAGCAUGGCACCUACGGCAUUUGCUAUGUCCUAUCAAGAUCUAGUAGGCCUUAGAAUGACCUGUUGGGAAUACCUAGAAAGGAGACUGAAGUUCCCUGGGUUCUUUCUUUUGCCAUACGAGAAGCAACUGAAGGAACUGGGGCUGUUUAGUCUGGGGAAAAGGAGGCCGAGGGGGAGACCUUAUUGCUCUCUUCCAAUAUCUGAAGGGUGCUUACAGCGAGAGUGAGGUUGGUCUCUUCUCACUGGUGACAGGACGAGGGGAAAUGGCCUCAAGUUGUGCCAGGGUAAGUUUAGGUUGGAUAUCAGGAAAAACUUCUUUACAGAAAGGCUUGUUAAGCACUGGAAUAGGCUCCCCAGGGAGGCGGUUGAGUCACCAUCCUUGAGUGUGUUUAAAAACCGUUUGGAUGUGGUGCUCUGGGACAUGAUUUAGCAGAGGGUUGUUAGAGUUAGAGUAGUAUGGUUAGGUUGUGGUUGGACUUGAUGAUCUUUGAAGUCUUUUCCAACCUGAGUGAUUCUAUGAUUUGUAUAUAAAGUGGGCUAGCUAGGUGUAAGAUCUAGACUGAUACUACAAUUGUGUAAAGUAAAAAAGCAGAAGUCCCAAAGCCAAAGUAUCCAAUGCAUCAUCAAAGAUGUAUUUGGUUGCAGAAAGUUUUACAGGUAAUCUGGAUAAUUUAACAGAAAAAUAAUGAUUCUGAAUUAUGCAGUGUACUUAAAAGAAUAAUCUGCAGUAACAGUUUAGAACAGAACUUUCACCUUUUACUUUAAUGUUCACAUUUUAAGUGGUUAGCACAUAGGACAAAGGAGGACAAAGGAGAACAGUGUGAACAGCAUCCAAAAACAGAAGCUGCAGACUGACUGGUACCAUUAAUGAUUGGCAGUGUGAGCAGGACAUACUGUAAAGCCAUAAAACAACCUGAGAAGAUGAAAAAUUAUACUGAAGUGAAAAAUGCUGCAGCCAAUGAAAUAUUUCUUCAGAAAUAAAGUCACGGAAGAGUCAGCAAGCGUGGAAAUAGCCAAGCCCAUAGGCAUGACAGGCAGAUAACAAAACCACAGGUGUUGCAAAGUCACUGCUUUAUAGCUUGUAGGGUUUCUAAAGUAUAAUCAUAGGAAAAUUCCUAAUACUGCUUCUGUUUCUGGGAGGUGGAAGAUAAGCACAAACCAUUGCUAUGGCUGCCUAUUCGUCUAGUUUAUCCACAGUGAAAUAAAGAAUUUGCAUGGAUACUGCUAUCAUUUUAAUGAUGGAAGAGAAUAUAGGGAUUGAAUAGCAAUCAAACUGAUCAGAUAUGCAGAGAAAGCAAUAAGAAACACAAAUAAGCAAAUAAUGAAGAGUUGCAAAGGUUUUCAGGCAUCACACUUGUUUUUUAUUUUGACAAGUGAGGUACAUUAAAUAUCAUAUUUCAUAUUGUUUUACAUUUCUGAACUCCUUGGAAUAUUUUGAACUCUCUUUAUCAUAUAUUCCUAGUGAAUAAAAAAGCAAAGUAAAUAUCUGGCCUCUCUUGGAACUUCUUGUAAGUUAUUAAAAUGAAAGAUCAACACUUUCAUGUUUUAAAAAGAAAUAUGUAAACAAGUCUCAGUUUCAUGUGUAUUUUGUGUGUAUCCACUGUGUAUCCACAUACGGAAGAUAAGACUUACUAUUGAAUGCAUGACAAGUUAUUUGUGGUUCUUCAGCAUGUGAAAAAUGGUACAAUCCUUGAUUCUUUAGAAAACCCAGCCCACACAUAAGUGAGUUUCACUCAUAAGAUGACAGCAUCACUCAAAACUCCUUCAUGUGCAUGUAGGAACUUUGCUAAGGCACAUGGGUUUGUAUGCACUGGGCUCUUAUGUGGGGAAGGUCUGUAGGAACAAAGGGGAAAAAAAGGCAUUGUCAAGAUGUGAAGAAGCUUGUUGGGCUCCUUCACAGUGCUCCAAGUAGGUUAAUUGGGUAGACUUGGAAACAAUGUCAACUUACUUAUUUUCUUUAUGAAUGUUGGUUAGAUUUGUA
rnacentral:lncRNA from 1 species